rnacentral:rRNA from 1 species
UGGGGAAUAUUGCACAAUGGGCGCAAGCCUGAUGCAGCCAUGCCGCGUGUAUGAAGAAGGCCUUCGGGUUGUAAAGUACUUUCAGUCGGGAGGAAGGUGGUAAGGUUAAUAACCUUAUCAAUUGACGUUACCGACAGAAGAAGCACCGGCUAACUCCGUGCCAGCAGCCGCGGUAAUACGGAGGGUGCAAGCGUUAAUCGGAAUUACUGGGCGUAAAGCGCACGCAGGCGGUUGAUUGAGUCAGAUGUGAAAUCCCCGGGCUUAACCCGGGAAUUGCAUCUGAUACUGGUCAGCUAGAGUCUUGUAGAGGGGGGUAGAAUUCCAUGUGUAGCGGUGAAAUGCGUAGAGAUGUGGAGGAAUACCGGUGGCGAAGGCAGCCCCCUGGACAAAGACUGACGCUCAGGUGCGAAAGCGUGGGGAGCAAACAGG